UACAGGGGGGGCAAGCGUUGUUCGGAUUUACUGGGCGUAAAGGGCGCGUAGGCGGCCACCGCAAGGCAGUUGUGAAAGCUCUGGGCUUAACCCAGAAUGGUCAACUGAUACUGCGGGGCUAGAGUGCAGAAGGGGCAACUGGAAUUCUCGGUGUAGCGGUGAAAUGCGUAGAUAUCGAGAGGAACACCUGCGGCGAAGGCGGGUUGCUGGGCUGACACUGACGCUGAAGUGCGAAAGCUAGGGGAGCGAACGGG
rnacentral:rRNA from 1 species